AUCCUGGCUCAGGACGAACGCUGGCGGCGUGCUUAACACAUGCAAGUCAAGGGGAAAGCUUCCUUCGGGAAGUGAUUAUACUGGCGCACGGGUGAGUAAAAUGUAAAUAAUCUACCUUUUGGAGGGGGAUAACGCUGAGAAAUUGGCGCUAAUACCGCGUAAAACUUUUACAAGGCAUCUUGUUGAAAGUUAAAGCUGCUUUAAGUAGUACCAGAAGAUGAGUUUGCAAAUGAUUAGCUAGUUGGUGAGUUAAUAGCUCACCAAGGCGACGAUCAUUAGCUGGUCUGAGAGGAUGAUCAGCCACACUGGAACUGAGACACGGUCCAGACUCCUACGGGAGGCAGCAGUGAGGAAUAUUGGGCAAUGGACGCAAGUCUGACCCAGCAACGCCGCGUGGGGGAAGAAGGCCGUAAGGUCGUAAACCCCUUUUCUAAAGGAUGAACACCUGUCAUUCGUAAGGGUGAUGGGCUGACCGUACUUUAGGAAUAAGCCCCGGCUAACUACGUGCCAGCAGCCGCGGUAAUACGUAGGGGGCGAGCGUUGUCCGGAUUUACUGGGUGUAAAGGGAGCGCAGGCGGUUUGGUAAGUCAGAAGUGAAAUCCUACAGCUUA
rnacentral:rRNA from 1 species